rnacentral:rRNA from 1 species
AACGUAAAGAACCUGCCUCAUAGACUGGGACAACAUUGGAAACGAUAGCUAAUACCGGAUAACAGCAUUAACUGCAUGGUUGAUGUUUAAAAGUUGGUUUUGCUAACACUAUGAGAUGGCUUUGCGGUGCAUUAGCUAGUUGGUGGGGUAAAGGCCUACCAAGGCGACGAUGCAUAGCCGACCUGAGAGGGUGAUCGGCCACACUGGGACUGAGACACGGCCCAG